UCACCUUGAUACGUAUUUUCGGUGUUUUCUGCUCAGAAUAAUUGAUUGCUCUGUUUAACAUCUGUCCUGAGAUAUUGUCAUUGCAGUCAUUGGAUAUUUGAUAGUAGUCACUUUUCCUGCUGCUGUCUAAUUUGGUCUUAACAAAAUGGUUCUUUUGUGCAGUCUGAAAGUACAUUGUAAUAGUCACUGCUGCCUUAGUUAUCCACAAAAAAUCAGUGCAAAAGGACUUUACAAUUCAAAUUCCAUUGUUAUGAACUUUAUGGAUUCCCUUUGAUUUGAUGCAGUAACUGUACUGUGAAUUUAGUGUUUUGUAAUCAUAUUUAUCUUCUAUUUUAUUUGGAGCCCUAGGAUUUCAGUAGUAUUUAUUUUGCAGCAAUAGCUUUAUUUUAUUCUUAGAAAACCAUAGAAGUUUAAUAAUGCUGUAACAGUGGAAAGAUUUUUGGCCUUCAGCAUUCCUAAUUAGGGGCGGUAUGUCUGAGAAAACUUGAUUUCAGAAGGAGGGUUUUGGAAGGGGAAAAAAAGCCUUUUCAGCAUCAUGUUAAUAUUACCUAGAAUCUAGGCUUGUCCUGUUAUAAUAGUCAGUGUCUUUUGUUUACCAAAAUUCAUGCAGAACUCUCAUGGUUGAUUACUCAAUGUAGGACAAUGCUGGGGAGAACGAUCUCACUUCGGUUUACAGGCUCACAGGGCUAAACACGAUUCUACUAUUUCUUCCAGAGCUUCUAUGGUAAGACACGCCUACAUGAUUUUAGACCAAAGCAUGAAAUGCUGGCUAUGACAUUUGCAGCUAUCGACAACGACUGUUAAAGGAAUCUAUGGAAACAAACUGUUCUCGUGCUCCAUUUGGCGAUUUGACGAACCUCUCUAAUGCAGUAGAGGCUGAGAGUGCACUCAAUUCACGGUCAGCAAACAAUGAUAAAAAGCAACGUAAGCGGGAAAGGGAUAGAGCAAGGUAUGCUUCAAUGUCUCAAGAACAGAAGAAUGCAAGAAACCUGAGGCAGCGUGAAGCACGUAAAAAAAAAGAAAGAAUGUCAGAAUUCCAUGGAAACAAAAUGUUCUCGUGCUCCAUUUGGUGAUUUGACAAACUACACUAAUAAAGGAGCUGACAGUGCAUCCAAUUCACAGUCAACGGACAAUAAUGCAAAGAACCGUAAGCGGGAAAGGGAUAGAGCAAGGUAUGCAGCAAUGUCUCAAGAAGAGAAGGAUGCAAUAUGUCUGAGGAAGCGUGAAGUGCGUCAAAAAAAGAAUGGUGAUAGACGUGUUACAUAUUUUUGGUGUUACAAAUACAUUACGUGUUACAAAUUAGUUGGACCUUUACACACUUCUACCUGCUUUGUAAUAUUUUCUCAUAUAUUUCUACUCUGGUAUUGGAGUAUGUAUGGUUGUCAUAAUAUCUCUACAACAUGAAUGGAGUACGAUGCCCAGUAGAGUUCCUCGCAUUCCACUUAAGCAACUAGAAUUGAGUUCAAGUUUUGCUACUGUAUAUUCUUAUAUUAGUACAAACUAUUUGCAGA